AAGCCCGAGACCAGGAUCAUGUCCUUCUUGCGGUCCACGAUCUUGGUGUAGCCGUCCGGCGACAUGAUGCCGAUAUCGCCGGUGCGGAAGUAGCCGUCGGCCGGUCAUCACCUUCGCGGUUUCUUCCGGCCGGUUCCAGUAACCCGCCAUCACCUGCGGACCCUUGGCGCAGAUUUCGCCGGGCUGGCCGAGCGGCACUUCGUUGCCGUCG
rnacentral:misc_RNA from 1 species